GUGCUCACUUUGGCAGCACAUAUACUAAGAUUGGAAUGUCACAAGGAAGAUUAGCACAGCCCCUGGGCAAGGAUGACACACAAAUUCAUAAAGUUUCAUAUUUUU